rnacentral:tRNA from 1 species
GGUGGCUCAGUGGUAGAAUGCUUGCCUUAUAAGCAUGAGGCCCUGGGUUCGAUUCCUCAGCACCA